UGAACUAAUUCAGACUGUGAAACUGUGAAUGGCUCAUUAAAUCAGUUAUAGUUUAUUUGAUGGUACCUGCUACUCGGGUAACCGUAGUAAUUCUAGAGCGAAUAUGUGCAACAAAUCCCGACUUCUAGAAGGGGCGCAUUUAUUAGAUAAAAGGUCGAUGAGGGCUUUUCCCGUUGCACUGAAGAUUCAUAAUAACUCGACGGAUCGCACGGCCUUUACGUCGGCGAUGCAUCAUUCAAAUUUAUGCCCUAUCAACUUUCGAUGGUAGGAUAGUAGCCUACCAUGGUGGUGACUUGUGAUGGAGAAUUAGGGUUCGAUUUUCAGAGAAGGAGCCUGAGAAAUGGCUACCACAUCUAAGGAAGGCAGCAGGCUUGCAAAUUACGCAAUUUUGACACGGGGGGUAGUGACAAUAAAUAAUAAUACCGGGCUCUUCGAGUCUGGUAAUUGGAAUAAGUACAAUCUAAAUCCCUUAACAAGGAUCCAUUGGAUGGUAAGUCUGGUGCCAGCAGCCACAGUAAUCCUAGCUCAAUAGCGUAUAUUUGAGUUGUUGCAGUUAAAAAUCUCUUAGUUGGACCUUGGGGUGGGCCGACCAGUCCGUGUUGCGGUGUGCGCCGGUCGUCUUGCUCCUUCUGCCGGCAAUGCGCUUCUGGCCUUAACUGGCCAGGUCAUGCCACCGACGCUGUUACUUUGAAGAAAUUAGAGUGCUCAAAGUAGACCUAUGCUCUGGAUACAUUAGUUUGGGAUAACGUCAUAGGAUUCCGGUCAUACUGUGUUAUCCUUCGGGAUUGGAGUAAUGAUUAACAGGGAGAGUUUGGGGCAUUUGUACUUUAUAGUCAGAGGUGAAAUUCUUGGAUUUAUGAAAGAUGAACAACUGUGAAAGCAUUUGCGAAGGAUGUUUUCAUUAAUCAAGAACGAAAGUUGGGGGCUCGACGAAGAUCAGAUACCAUCCUAGUCUCAACCAUAAAUAAUGCCAACGAGGGAUCGGCAGAUGUUGCUUUUAGGACGUCGUCGGCACCUUAUGAGAAAUCAAAGUUUUUAGGUUCUAGGGAGAGCAUGUUCAUAAGGUUUAAACUUAAAGGAAUUGAUGGAAAGGCACCACUAGGAGUGGAGCCUAUGGCUUAAUUUGACUCAACAUGGGGAAAUUUACCAGGUUCAGACAUAGUAAGGAUUGACAGACUGAGAGCUCUUUCUUGAUUCUAUGGGUGGUUGUGCAUGGUCGUUCUUAAUUGGUGGAGCAAUUUGUCUACUUGAUUUCGUUAAUGAACAAGACCUCAGCCUGCUAACUAGCUCUGUA
rnacentral:rRNA from 1 species